rnacentral:rRNA from 1 species
UAGUCCACGCUGUAAACGAUGAUUACUCGGUGUUGGCGAUAUAAUGUCAGUGCCCAAGCGAAAGUGAUAAGUAAUCCACCUGGGGAGUACGAUCGCAAGGUUGAAACUCAAAGGAAUUGACGGGGGCCCGCACAAGCGGUGGAGCAUGUGGUUUAAUUCGAUGAUACGCGAGGAACCUUACCUGGGCUUAAAUGUACUCUGACGUUUUGAGAAAUCAGAAUUUCUUCGGACAGAGUACAAGGUGCUGCAUGGUUGUCGUCAGCUCGUGCUGUGAGGUGUCGGGUUAAGUCCCAUAACGAGCGCAACCCCUAUCCUUAGUUGCCAGCGGAUAAUGCCGGGGACUCUAAGGAAACUGCCCGCGCAAGCGGAGAGGAAGGUGGGGAUGACGUCAAAUCAUCACGGCCCUUACGUCCAGGGCUACGCACGUGCUACAAUGGUCGGUACAAAGGGCAGCUACCCAGCGAUGGGAUGCUAAUCUCUAAAGCCGGCCUCAGUUCGGAUUG